rnacentral:rRNA from 1 species
AUUGAACGCUGGCGGCAGGCCUAACACAUGCAAGUCGAACGAGUCGCAGCCGGGUGAGUAAUGUCUGGGACUCUGUCUGCUGGAGGGGGAUCACUACUGGAAACGGUCGCUAAUACCGCAUAACAUCAGCUGUCCCCAGAUGGGAUUAGCUAGUUGGUGGGGUAACGGCUCACCAACGCGACGCUCCCUAGCUGGUCUGAGAGGAUGACCAGCCACACUGGAACGGAGACACGGUCCAGACUCCUACGGGAGGCAGCAGUGGGGAAUAUUGCACAAUGGGCGCAAGCCUGAUGCAGCCAUGCCGGGUGUAUGAAGAAGGCCUUCGGGUUGUAAAGUACUGUCAGCGGGGAGGCGUUACCCGCAGAAGAAGCACCGGCUAACUCCGUGCCAGCAGCCGCGGUAAUUC